rnacentral:tRNA from 1 species
AAAUAAGAAGCAAAAAAAUUGCAUUUAGUUUCGACCUAAAAAUAUGAUUUUAUACAAAUCCUUAUUUU